UGGCGAACGGGUGAGUAAUGCGUGACCAACCUGCCCCAUGCUCCAGAAUAGCUCUUGGAAACGGGUGGUAAUGCUGGAUGCUCCAACUUGACGCAUGUCUUGUUGGGAAAGUGUUUAGUGGCAUGGGAUGGGGUCGCGUCCUAUCAGCUUGUAGGCGGGGUAAUGGCCCACCUAGGCUUCGACGGGUAGCCGGCCUGAGAGGGCGGACGGCCACAUUGGGACUGAGAUACGGCCCAGACUCCUACGGGAGGCAGCGUU
rnacentral:rRNA from 1 species